AGAGAGUUGAACCUGCCCAGUGAAAUUUUUAACGGCCGCGGUACCCUGACCGUGCAAAGGUAGCAUAAUCAUUUGCCUUAUAAUUGAAGGCUUGUAUGAAUGGUUUAACGGGAGCAUUGCUGUCUCUUUUUUAGUAGAUAGAAUUUAACUUUUAGGUGAAGAGGCUUAAAUAUAAUUGAAAGACAAGAAGACCCUAUCGAGCUUAAAAAUUAAAUUAGGAAUAAGUUAUAAAUUUAGAUUUUCCGCUAACUCAUUUUUUAAUUGGGGCGAUUAAGGAAUAGAAGAAGCUUCCUUUAGUUUGUUUGAACUUAUAGGUAUUGAUCCAGCUAAAGCUGAUUAAAAGAAUUAGUUACCGUAGGGAUAACAGCAUAAUCUCUCUUGAGAGACCUAAUCGAAAGAGGGGGUUGUGACCUCGAUGUUGGACUAGAAUAUCCUAAAGGUGCAGAAGUCUUUAAGGGUUGGUC
rnacentral:rRNA from 1 species